AAAAAUAUAGUUUAUUAUAAAACUUCCGUUUUCGGCUCGGGCGAUUUUGGUUAAAUUCCAAAUGUUUUUU
rnacentral:tRNA from 1 species